UACGUAGGGUGCAAGCGUUAAUCGGAAUUACUGGGCGUAAAGCGUGCGCAGGCGGUGAUGUAAGGCAGGUGUGAAAUCCCCGGGCUUAACCUGGGAACUGCAUUUGUGACUGCAUUGCUGGAGUGCGGCAGAGGGGGAUGGAAUUCCGCGUGUAGCAGUGAAAUGCGUAGAUAUGCGGAGGAACACCGAUGGCGAAGGCAAUCCCCUGGGCCUGCACUGACGCUCAUGCACGAAAGCGUGGGGAGCAAACAGG
rnacentral:rRNA from 1 species